rnacentral:rRNA from 1 species
UGGGCGUUAAGUUGCAGGGUAUAGACCCGAAACCCGGUGAUCUAGCCAUGGGCAGGUUGAAGGUUGGGUAACACUAACUGGAGGACCGAACCGACUAAUGUUGAAAAAUUAGCGGAUGACCUGUGGCUGGGGGUGAAAGGCCAAUCAAACCGGGAGAUAGCUGGUUCUCCCCGAAAGCUAUUUAGGUAGCGCCUCGUGAAUUCAUCUCCGGGGGUAGAGCACUGUUUCGGCUAGGGGGCCAUCCCGGCUUACCAACCCGAUGCAAACUGCGAAUACCGGAGAAUGUUAUCACGGGAGACACACGGCGGGUGCUAACGUCCGUCGUGAAGAGGGAAACAACCCAGACCGCCAGCUAAGGUCCCAAAGUCAUGGUUAAGUGGGAAACGAUGUGGGAAGGCCCAGACAGCCAGGAUGUUGGCUUAGAAGCAGCCAUCAUUUAAAGAAAGCGUAAUAGCUCACUGGUCGAGUCGGCCUGCGCGGAAGAUGUAACGGGGCUAAACCAUGCACCGAAGCUGCGGCAGCGAACGUAUCACCCAAGACAACUUUACGGAGUUGACGAUUGACGGAGCGAAGCGACGUCAAAGCGUUCAUUAAAGUCGAGUUGGCUUAGGGAUACGUUCGUUGGGUAGGGGAGCGUUCUGUAAGCCUGUGAAGGUGUGUCGUGAGGCAUGCUGGAGGUAUCAGAAGUGCGAAUGCUGACAUAAGUAACGAUAAAGCGGGUGAAAAGCCCGCUCGCCGGAAGACCAAGGGUUCCUGUCCAACGUUAAUCGGGGCAGGGUGAGUCGACCCCUAAGGCGAGGCCGAAAGGCGUAGUCGAUGGGAAACGGGUUAAUAUUCCCGUACUUGGUGUUACUGCGAAGGGGGGACGGAGAAGGCUAUGUUGGCCGGGCGACGGUUGUCCCGGUUUAAGCGUGUAGGUGUGUGUUCCAGGUAAAUCCGGUUCACUUUAACACUGAGGCGUGAUGACGAGGCACUACGGUGCUGAAGCAACA